UUAUAUGAGAGUUUGAUCCUGGCUCAGGAUGAACGCUGGCGGCGUGCCUAAUACAUGCAAGUCGAACGAGUUCUGAUUAUUGAAAGGUGCUUGCAUCUUGAUUAAUUUGAACGAGUGGCGGACGGGUGAGUAACAC
rnacentral:ncRNA from 1 species